rnacentral:ncRNA from 1 species
UAGAGAGCGACGAAGAGAUAAGUAAAUAAGAAGGAACAUUACAGAGACCCUCGGUUGGUGAAAAGAGGGAUGGAAAUUCUUAUUGAAAAAAGCCUCUGAGCUUCGUACGGAACUAAGUACCUACUUAGGGAUGCUGCGACGGUUUCCCCCGUUACAGGGAUAGGGUAUCGCAUUUAAUGCCGUACCUGAUGAGGCUUAUUGAGCAAUCAAUAAGCAAACUGAGGUGGUACCGCGAAGUCAAACUCUCGCCCUCAAG